AGGAGCAGAAGGAGGGAGAACAUGAUCAAGGAAGUCAGAACCACGAGGGGGCUAAUCAUCAACCACAAGCCCUCUGAUAAGCUAUGCAUGACCUAAUACCUGGCUAAGUACUGAGCCCAAUGAUUAUAAAGACUAUUGGUUUCCACUUGACUGGAAGACACAUCUAAGCAUCAGUUGAUAAUUCCAACAUGCUCUGAAUAACUGCAAAUCCUGGACUUCCUCAAAGUUGAUGUGGGCUAGUCCAGCUGAUGUGAAUGCUCCCUGUCUCUUCAACAGAAUCUGUGAACCAGAUGCUUCUGAUGAGUGCCCCAAUGACUGAAUUCCCUCCUUACCUUUGGAUAGCCUUCCAGCCUACUUGAGACCUGAUGACAACAUCCCAAUGUCAGCUUGAAGUAGUUGCAGAAAGGAACAUAUCAUCCCCUGCUCCUUGCCCAGAAUAGGUUGAAAGGAUGAGACAAGAGGGAACUGUAGGAGGGUCUUCUGUCUAUGUGUAACUUUCAUUGGUUAAAUAAAGAGGCUGCCUUGGCCUUUUGAUAGGACAGCAGCUUAGAUAGGUGGAGUA